rnacentral:rRNA from 1 species
UACGUCCUACGGGAGAAAGCGGGGGAUCUUCGGACCUCGCGCUAUCGGAUGAGCCUAGGUCGGAUUAGCUAGUUGGUGGGGUAAAGGCUCACCAAGGCGACGAUCCGUAGCUGGUCUGAGAGGAUGAUCAGCCACACUGGAACUGAGACACGGUCCAGACUCCUACGGGAGGCAGCAGUGGGGAAUAUUGGACAAUGGGCGAAAGCCUGAUCCAGCCAUGCCGCGUGUGUGAAGAAGGUCUUCGGAUUGUAAAGCACUUUAAGUUGGGAGGAAGGGUUGUAACCUAAUACGUUGCAACUUUGACGUUACCGACAGAAUAAGCACCGGCUAACUUCGUGCCAGCAGCCGCGGUAAUACGAAGGGUGCAAGCGUUAAUCGGAAUUACUGGGCGUAAAGCGCGCGUAGGUGGUUUGAUAAGUUGGAUGUGAAAGCCCCGGGCUCAACCUGGGAAUUGCAUCCAAAACUGUCUGACUAGAGUACGGUAGAGGGUAGUGGAAUUUCCUGUGUAGCGGUGAAAUGCGUAGAUAUAGGAAGGAACACCAGUGGCGA